UAGGGAAUGCCAGGAUCUGAGGUAUCUCAAUGACCUAUGUCUACCUUGGUUCAUCUCAUGAUAGAUCUUCAGCUGCUGUGCUUCAAAUGUUUGAGAUGCAUGGUGUACCCUGCCAGAACCUAAGAAAUACAGAGAAGAACUGACUGACCCAUCUUGGAAAGGGCGAGGUAGGCAAUGGGAGCAUGAAUUCAAAGACCCAGCCCUUCUCUGGUUUCCUUGUGAGGCAAAGGAUCUGUCUGGAGUUCUGUUUGUCACUGGAGACCAUGAUUGUUAUGUGACCCUCUUAAAAUUAACUCAGUAAUGGG